rnacentral:rRNA from 1 species
AUUGAACGCUGGCGGCAUGCCUUACACAUGCAAGUCGAACGGCAGCACGGGUGCUUGCCCCUGGUGGCGAGUGGCGAACGGGUGAGUAAUACAUCAGAACAUGUCCUGUAGUGGGGGAUAGCCCGGCGAAAGCCGGAUUAAUACCGCAUACGAUCUACGGAUGAAAGCGGGGGACCUUCGGGCCUCGCGCUAUAGGGUUGGCCGAUGGCUGAUUAGCUAGUUGGUGGGGUAAAGGCCUACCAAGGCGACGAUCAGUAGAUGGUCUGAGAGGACGACCAGCCACACUGGGACUGAGACACGGCCCAGACUCCUACGGGAGGCAGCAGUGGGGAAUUUUGGACAAUGGGCGAAAGCCUGAUCCAGCAAUGCCGCGUGUGUGAAGAAGGCCUUCGGGUUGUAAAGCACUUUUGUCCGGAAAGAAAUCCUUGGCUCUAAUACAGUCGGGGGAUGACGGUACCGGAAGAAUAAGCACCGGCUAACUACGUG